GCGAGGUUGGGAAUGGAACGAAGCACGUGGGAUGUAUACCCAGUGAUAUGUAUAUCUUCAUCUUAAUAGUGAAUUACGAUUUUAAUGACCCAGCAGCGGUCAAUGGAACACGACCCUAACGAUCGUGUUCAACCGUUGGGCUGUGAACCGCAGAGAAACAUAUAUUUUUUUUUAUGAAAUUCAAAGUAUAUGUGCUAAGUGCUUCUUGAGAACAAGAAGUGAAGUGUCUGUGCUCUCCAAUUUCACAAGAAAGAAGCCACAAUGGACUGCAGAAAGUUUUGGAACAGGUGACGACUGACUACGUUAAGUCAUUCCAGUGGACCUGAGAAUUACGAGACAAAGAAAUCUAAGUGGAUGUCUUUUAUUUAUACUGGAAAGUGUUGAGUGAUGCUACCACAGUGUUCUGGCUGAGCUCUGCAGGAGGUACACGUUGUUUGCUCUAGUGGUCUUAGAGUAAUGUUAAAAUGAGAUUCCCAGUUUGGGUCACGGAUGCGGUAGAAAUCUGGUGUAAUAAGAUUUCUAAAAUUUCCUCGUGCCUGGUGGUGAAGAUUCUGCUGAAAUUCCUGUCCUCCCCAGUCCAUUGCCCUAUUAACUCGCUGGGAGAUACUCGACUGGCACCUUAUUCUGCACUAAGCCAUCCACAAAUAGU